rnacentral:rRNA from 1 species
UGGGGAAUAUUGGACAAUGGGCGAAAGCCUGAUCCAGCCAUGCCGCGUGAAUGAUGAAGGCCUUAGGGUUGUAAAGUUCUUUUGUCAGGGAAGAUGAUGACGGUACCUGAAGAAUAAGCACCGGCUAACUUCGUGCCAGCAGCCGCGGUAAUACGAAGGGUGCUAGCGUUGUUCGGAAUCACUGGGCGUAAAGCGCGCGUAGGCGGCUAUCCAAGUCAGAGGUGAAAUCCCUGGGCUCAACCCAGGAACUGCCUUUGAAACUGUUUAGCUAGAGUGUCGGAGGGGAUGGCGGAAUUGCUAAUGUAGAGGUGAAAUUCGCAGAUAUUAGCAGGAACACCGGUGGCGAAGGCGGCCAUCUGGACGACAACUGACGCUGAGGCGCGAAAGCGUGGGGAUCAAACAGG